rnacentral:rRNA from 1 species
AUGGAUCAGUAUGAGGUAUUGGAGCAGAUUGGGAAAGGAGCAUUCGGCUCUGCUCUGUUGGUGAGGCACAAGGUGGAGAAGAAGAAGUAUGUGCUGAAGAAGAUCCGGCUUGCCCGACAGACGGACCGCACUCGCCGGUCUGCCCACCAGGAGAUGCAGCUUAUUGCAACUGUGAGAAAUCCGUUCAUCGUGGAGUACAAAGAUUCUUGGGUAGAGAAGGGUUGCUAUGUCUGCAUUGUUAUUGGUUAUUGUCAGGGAGGAGACAUGUCUGAAGCUAUUAAAAGAGCUAAUGGUACAUAUUUCUCUGAGGAGAAGCUUUGCAAGUGGCUUGUGCAGCUCCUUAUGGCUCUUGAUUACUUGCACACAAACCACAUUCUUCACCGUGAUGUCAAGUGCUCCAAUAUUUUCAUUGCCAGGGACCAAACUAUAAGACUCGGUGACUUUGGGCUUGCAAAAAUAUUGACAUCUGAUGAUCUGGCAUCUUCCGUGGUAGGAACGCCAAGUUAUAUGUGCCCAGAACUUCUUGCUGAUAUACCAUAUGGUAGCAAGUCUGAUAUUUGGUCUCUAGGAUGUUGUAUUUACGAAAUGACUGCUCUCAGGCCUGCCUUUAAAGCUUUCGACAUGCAAGCUUUGAUUAACAAGAUCACGAAGUCAAUAGUAUCACCAUUGCCUACCAAAUAUUCUGGUCCAUUUCGGGGACUUAUUAAGAGCAUGCUGCGUAAAAGCCCAGAGCACAGACCAAGCGCUGGAGAACUGCUGAAACAUCCUCAACUUCAGCCUUAUGUGUUUCAAGUCCAAUUGAAGUCUAGUCCUACUCGCAAUAUUCAUCCCAUCAAUGAAUCUCUGACUGACAAAGUUAAGAAGAUGACAGUUCCUGAUGAUGUCCCUGAUUCUGCGCGCAGAAGAAUGGUCAGGAGAAACUCUUUGGGAAGUCAUAGGAUCGUGACAUUUAGCAAGCCAUCACCCGAGCGUAACUCUGUUAGUUCUACUAGGAGCAUCAAGGAAUAUACAACUACUCAGAGUUGCAAAGAGUUAUCCAUUGACAGCAGUCAGGCUGAAGAUGACGAGGUUACCAGUAAAGCCAUGAUAACCAAGACAUCAAGCAUCCUAAGGACUCCCAAGAGUAAUCCAGCCAAGACAUUCACAAGUAGAAACAGGCUUGAAACUCCAAAAACAUCUUAUAACAGAACAAACCGCGCUGAGCCGCCCUCAGUGACACCUGUGAACAAGAGUGCUCGACUGGCUCGAAGAGUAUCCCUCCCGCUGUCGACAUACGAAACGCCCAUCAAGCGCAGCAUCAGCAUUCUUGACCAGCUAGGCUCCCCUGAUGUCUCCAUGAACGCGCCUCGAAUCGACAGGAUCGCAGAGUUUCCACUGGCUUCAUCAGAGGACCCCUUCCACUCCAUCCACAAGCUCUCUUCAGCCCAUGGCUCAUGCUCCACCCCUCCCUUCAUCAACCGGUCGAUCACUAAGGACAAGUGCACGAUCCAGGUGCUCCGUGCGGACGGCGGGGACAACGGGAGCGACUCGUCGGGCCGCAACGCCACGGCCGCGUCGAGCCGGGGCUCCAACGACUCGAGGCUGCAGCGGUUCGACAUGUCGUCGUUCCAGCAGCGUGCGGAGGCGCUGGAGGGCCUGCUGGAGUUCAGCGCGCAGCUGCUGCAGCAGGAGAGGUACGACGAGCUGGGGAUCCUGCUGAAGCCGUUCGGCCCCGAGAAGGCGUCCCCCAGGGAGACAGCCAUCUGGCUCUCAAAGAGCUUCAAGGAGACGACGUAG